UUGGUCGCUCGCGGAGCUGUAUUGUUCUUCCAUUUCCGCACGCCUCGUGCCGGACCGUUGCUAUAUAUUAUUAGCCGUGUUGCUACACAGCUGAGCGUUUUGUGCUGCGCGUCGAGAGGAAAACGGUGGGGAGAAAAAAAGUGGAUUUGCGGUAGUUUCACCGCCGGAUUUUACAGGUUUUCUAUCGCUUUGUUAACUUUAUUUACGAACUCCUUCAAAAUGGAGAACGAGAACAAAUAUCUCCCGCAGCUGCUGGCGGAAAGAGACAGCCUGGAUUCGUCCUUCAUACAUGCUAUGAAACUUUUAUCUGCAGAAAUCGAGAGGGUUCAGAAAGAUGAGCCAGAAAAAGACAACGAAACCUACUUGGAUCUCUUCACAGCAAAGAAUAUCAAACUGAAGGAAAGAGUUCUUAUUCCAGUCAAACAGUACCCAAAGUUUAACUUUGUUGGGAAGAUUCUUGGGCCUCAAGGGAACACCAUUAAGAGACUGCAAGAGGAGACGGGCGCCAAGAUCUCAGUACUGGGCAAGGGAUCUAUGAGAGACAAAGCAAAGGAGGAGAGCUUGAGGAAAAGCGGUGAGCCCAAAUACGCCCACCUGUCCAUGGAACUCCACGUGUUCAUCGAAGUGUUUGCUCCAGCGCCCGAAGCGUACAUGCGCAUGGCCCACGCUAUGGAGGAGGUUAAAAAAUUCCUCUUCCCUGACAUGAUGGAUGAAAUUUGUCAGGAGCAAUUCAUGGAGAUGGGAUAUCUAAACGGCAGCCAUGAACAUGCCGUCCGAGGCAGGGGAGGCCCGAUGGCCAGGGGGCGUGGAGGACCCCCGCCACCCAGGGGUCGAGGCAUGGCACCAAUGCGUGGCGGUGUUCCGCGUGGUGGUCCAGCCAGAGGAGGAGCAGUGAGAGGAGCUCCAGCAGGUCGUGGUGGACCACCAGCUCAACCCGGCAGAGGCGCCACUGCCAACAGAGCUCGCGCUCCUGCCCCUGGAUCACAGAGGAUGCCUCCUCCACCGCGCCCUCCUGCCCAGGAGUCUUACGAAGACUAUACUUACGAUGAAAGCUACACAGACUCGGGCUACGAAUCUUACGACAGCUAUUACAGUCAGCCACAGGCAGAACCAGAGUAUUAUGACUAUGGACACGGCGAGACACAGGAAAGCUAUGAGAAUUAUGCUCAAGAUGACUGGAACGGAACACAGCGUGCUUCUGCCAGCGGGAAAGUAGCUGCUCAGAGACAAACAAAGGGAGCGUACAGGGAGCACCCGUACGGACGAUACUGAACUCUCAACAAGCACAACGUCAUCACCCAUAAUGUCCCAUCAUGACGACUGUCUCCCACGGCAGCUCGCUCUUUAAGCAACCUGACAAAAGGAACUGUGCUUCAUGAGUUCCAGGGAUGGAAUCAGGGUUUGCGGCUUUUUUCUCAGGGAAGACCGAUUUGCCGUAAAGAGGCGGUCUUAAAUUUCAGCAGGCAGGCUUUUUGGGGAAGGAACUCUGAAAUCUGCAGAGACGGAGUCGAAGCGAAGUUCUGCCGGACGCCUUUCAAAAACUGGCAGAAGCCGGAAUGCUAGGAAAGUGCGUCUUAAAAAGGAAAGAAAAAAGGAAAUCGAUGCUCUCCUCGGCGCUGCUGCCAAAGCAUGCGGGCACUUAUUGAGCUGGAGCGGAAAGCGGCUUAUGUGUCCUACAGCGUCCAGUGGUCGUGUUUGUGUGCGUGUAUGUGGUCACAUAUUGGAAAUGUGUCUGGCUCAUUGUUGUCUUUGUGAAGCUUCCAGCCUCUUUUUUUUUUUUUUUUUUUUUUUACAAGGGACGUAUUAAGCUAUUUCUAAAGCACACAUCCAGAAAAUGAACAAUAUUGUUUUUGUCAUUGUUUUUUUUUUUUUUGGGAACUCAUUACGUACCUCAUUUGAUGGCAAUGGGGUGGGUGUUUUAUUUAUUUAUUUACUUAUUUUUUCCCCCUCCUUUGGGGAGAUGGGAGGAUAAAUGGUGGGACACUUGGACUGCCACCCACUCAGUGAAAGUAAUUUACUUUUCUAUAUCUCUUGUCUUCACAUUUACAAUAUUCACUGAACCCUCGUGCACAUUGCUGUAUGGUACAAUCUUUACUGUAAUGUAUACACACAAACGUAAAAACCUACCGAUUUGUGCACUUCAGCUGUUUUCUUUGUACGAAAAUAAACGCAGUUGUCUUUGCAAUAACAAAAUUGCAGCAAAAUUGGAUUCUUGCUGAAUUCUGAGACUCCUUUGCGGUGCUACAUGUACACUGAAAACUGUACGUGUGUAAAAGGGUAGUGGGUCAUGUAUAGCAUUUGGAAAAUAUUGUGUUUAAAAUCUACACCAAAGAUCUUUUUUUUUUUUAAAUUGGUGUGUGAAUGAUAGCUUUUUAUCUGCCUGAGGUGUUUGAUUUCUUAUCAUUUUUUUUCAUUUACAAUAACAUGCAGAACUACAGUAGAAAAAUGAUUAAAGCAGUGUGAAAGUUCUACUUGUUGUAUUUGUGCUGUUGGACAGCACAGGCAUCAUCAGACACCUUUUCAGUCUCUCACCGUGUUUCUCGUUUCAGACAAACACAGCUAGGCUUUUGUGACUAAUGCAUUGCAGAGGCAUUGAUUGUUUUUUUUAAAAAAAUGUCCAUGUGAGUAUUGUUACAGUCCUGAAAAUUGAAUUGUAGUGUAUUUUAUUCCAGAGUACAAGCACAUAGCUGCGUCAGUAUGACGUACACGUAGGUCUUUAUUUCAGCGCCGCAGUGCCACCAGGGCCUGUUGCUCCACCGAGCCAGAAUAAUUCCUUCGCCCUAUUGAGGAAAGAAGUGUUUCGAACGCACAGCGGUGUGCGCCGGCGUGACGAGCCGAGAAUUGGGCUUUGGAGCUGAAAUGUCUUACCCGAGUCCGUGUGAGCAUUGGAGCAGAUUCUCAGCACUACAUUUUUUUUAAAACCAUAUUCACACCAGAUGGAAAAAACCAUGCUAGCUUGCAUGAUGAUUAAGCAGAGUUUCAUAGAAUUAAAACCACAUUUCAAACCCAAGAAAUAACCAAGAGGGAUUUAAAAAAAAAAAACCUGUGUGUUAGGACAGAUCUGUUUACACACUCCAGCUUCUUGAAUAGAAACAUAUUGAAAGCCCACCGAAGCUGUAUGGAUAAAGAUUCGACAAAAGUCCCAGAGGGGUUUUUUAAACCUUCAACUUUUCAGUCCAUGCUUUAGCCUCUGGUUCAUGAUGAUUUCUGACUUUAGAGGAACCCAGUAUGUGGUGUGAGAAAUUAAAGAUUGCAUGCAUCCAGAUUCCGCUCCAAGUUACACGUCGGAACGAGCUCAUUCCCAAAAAGGCUUAAGUAUCAGGAGGCAAUGCGUUUUAAAUGAAAUAAAAAAAUAAUUAACCUUAAUUAAUUGUUAGUAUGGAAGCGUCUGCAGGACAUCAAGCACCGUCACCGUGAUUACCCUUUAAACCGACCAUCUAGAUGAUCUCACCUGUAGCAAUAGCAAGCCAAGGUGAACGAGACCAUGAUUAGCAUUUAAAGACACCCGGCUAGACAGUAGCAUCACCCAGGCAUUUGGGAAUUACACAAUUAAAAUGAAACCCCAUUUAAACUACAAAGAAAAAAUGUUUGACCAGGUUUUGUCCUACGUUGUUCUUUACUCUGAUGAACCCAAAGUACUUCAUGUAUUUUGUCACUGCUACACUUGAAUAAACUACUUUAUUAAUA